rnacentral:ncRNA from 1 species
UUAUUGGAGAGUUUGAUCCUGGCUCAGGACGAACGCUGGCGGCGUGCCUAAUACAUGCAAGUCGAGCGGACUUGAGGGAGCUUGCUCCCGAUGGUCAGCGGCGGACGGGUGAGUAACACGUGGGCAACCUGCCUGUAAGACUGGGAUAACUCCGGGAAACCGGGGCUAAUACCGGAUAAUUCAUUCCCUCACAUGAGGGAAUGCUGAAAGACGGCUUUUGCUGUCACUUACAGAUGGGCCCGCGGCGCAUUAGCUAGUUGGUGAGGUAACGGCUCACCAAGGCCACGAUGCGUAGCCGACCUGAGAGGGUGAUCGGCCACACUGGGACUGAGACACGGCCCAGACUCCUACGGGAGGCAGCAGUAGGGAAUCUUCCGCAAUGGACGAAAGUCUGACGGAGCAACGCCGCGUGAGCGAAGAAGGCCUUCGGGUCGUAAAGCUCUGUUGUCAGGGAAGAACAAGUACCGGAGUAACUG